GCAUAUCAAUAAGCGGAGGAAAAGAAACUAACAAGGAUUCCCUUAGUAGCGGCGAGCGAAGCGGGAUGAGCUCAGAUUUGAAAUCUGGCGUCUUUCAGGCGUCCGAGUUGUAAUCUAUAGAAGCGUUUUCUGUGCUGGACCGUGUCCAAGUCCCUUGGAACAGGGUAUCAAAGAGGGUGAGAAUCCCGUACUUGACACGACCACCAGUGCUCUGUGAUACGUUUUCUACGAGUCGAGUUGUUUGGGAAUGCAGCUCAAAAUGGGUGGUAAAUUCCAUCUAAAGCUAAAUAUUGGCGAGAGACCGAUAGCAAACAAGUACCGUGAGGGAAAGAUGAAAAGCACUUUGGAAAGAGAGUUAAACAGUACGUGAAAUUGUUGAAAGGGAAACGAUUGAAGUCAGUCGUGUCUAUUGGUUUCAGCCGGUUCUGCCGGUGUACUACCAUUAGACGGGUCAACAUCAGUUUUAGACGGCGGAUAAAAGCAGUUAGAAUGUAGCACCUCCGGGUGUGUUAUAGCUUCCUGUUGCAUACGCUGUCCGAGACUGAGGAAUGCAGCUCGCCUUCACAGGCCGGGGGUUCGCCCCACGUCCGAGCUUAGGA
rnacentral:rRNA from 1 species